AGCUCCAAAAUCAAUCACAUUUCUUCCUCUUUGAAGGUAAAUCCUCUUCUAAAUUAUCACUACUUCAGUUAUUAAUUCUAAUAUCGCGUGAAUUUCCUCUGUUAUUUCGUUUGUUUAUCAGUUUUUCUUUUUGAUUGAGAAACGAUGUAGCAUCGAUUCUUUGAUGGCAAUGGCAAAUGCGGCUGAUGAAACCACAAAAAUAUGCCGUCACUGGAUACUAUUUGUACAAUCAUUCAAAACUCUUGGAAUAAACUUUUCAUCAAGGCAACUUUUGUGCUAUAGAUCAGCCAACAUUAAAGAUUAGCUAUGUGCUUGGCAUGCCGGGGCAGUUUCUUCUUUGACUGUGCACUCAUGCAAGGAAGACAGGUUUAGGGUUGUUCAACUCUCUGGUAGCCAUGCUGCCCUGUGUACUUGCUGUUGAAGCUUUUCAUAUGAUUUGUAGUAGUACUAACAAUUUGAUGCUUAGUUAUUAGUUAAUUUUAGUAAUAAUAGUUUAAUAUGAUUAAUAUUUUUUUAAUAUGAUUUCAGUAAUAACAGG